UACGUAGGUGGCAAGCGUUGUCCGGAUUUACUGGGCGUAAAGAGCGCGCAGGCGGCCGAGUAAGUCGAAUGUGAAAGCCCCCGGCUCAACUGGGGAGGGUCACGCGAUACUGAUCGACUCGAAGGCAGGAGAGGGUAGUGGAAUUCCCGGUGUAGUGGUGAAAUGCGUAGAUAUCGGGAGGAACACCAGUGGCGAAGGCGACUACCUGGCCUGUUCUUGACGCUGAGGCGCGAAAGCUAGGGGAGCAAACGGG
rnacentral:rRNA from 1 species